ACUUGUUAACUGGCUUGUCUCACGGCUAAAUUAAACCCAUUUCAUUAGAUUGAACAAUACACACGAAAUCAUCUGUUCAUACAAAACGUCUCACAAAAAGAGCAAAUAUGUACGACAAAUCAAAUAGGCAUCGGUGAUUAACUUGGUAGGUGGUAAUGAUUCUUAGUCAUCCGCAUCGAUCGUACCCAUUUCUUUUCUUCAUCUUAUCUUCAGUCGAUGACAAUAGCGCGGUGUUGGCAAUUGAAAAGUAGAAAGGAAACAAUGUGUAAAAAGACGUGCAUGAUGUGAAGAACAUAAGCAUACCAAUUUUGGUUGUGCCAUUAAAUCUGCAAAGUAAUUGAACCUCUGCUACAUUAAGUAAAGGAAAUAUUAGACAACAAUUAGCAAGAAAAAUAACAAUAUUAGAGCAAUCUUCCAGAAAUGUAAGUAGAUGAUUUUAGUUGAUAAAGCAAAACCAGUCAAGGGAGAAAGCUCUUAAACAUAGCACGGUGAUGGACUUCGAUUGAAGUAUUGAACAUGGUAUUCCAUCACCAUAUCAUGCAUUUUUUCUGUUCUAUUCCAGUUAAUACUGUAAUAGUUAUGAUUUGGGACGUCAAGGUAACAUCUUCCAAAAACAAUGGCAUGAACUUUGUGUCGAACAACUACGAUAAUGAAGAGACAAAAGUGAAUCAUAAUUGGACUAAAGGUGUAAAACUGAAACAAUUCUGUAGCAAUGAAAGAAUAAGAAUCUGUAGUGAUAUUUAAAGGAGGAGAUUUUCUUACUUCUAGAGAUUGCGAAAUUAGCAUUUGAGAGAAUAUGUGAGUUAAUGUUUCAGUUUCUUCCUCCAUCUCAACUUGAAACUAAAUUCAGUUUUGACAGGAAUGUUAACUAAAAAGGGGAUGAGAAUUAAUACAAUCCCUGAAAAAUAUUACAUUCUGCUACAGUCUUAGUUCGGCGAGCGAAAAACUCGAACUGUGUCUAGGAUUGCGAAGUAUUGCAUCACCAGUCUGCUACGGUACCUCCAGUGGGUGGCUGCAUCAAGGACGGCGGUCGUCCGAUUUUCUUAAAAUUGAUGUCCACAGACUUGGAUUGCUGGCUGCCGCACACAUACAUGUUGAGAAGAUUUUUAAGGCUUGCGAUAUAGAAACUCGUGGUUGGAGCAUGGCAUGUUUGUGGAUAGAAUGCAGCGUCCAUGCAAGUUUUGAACAAAGCCGUGUUCAUAAGAGCAACUUAUUUUAUCUCAUUUAUGUAAGUAGAUGAUCGCAUGUGAAAAUAAUAACCAUUUGUAGGGGAACAACAACACAGUCAGUCACAAAAUUGUAUCACUCGGGUACUAUAUCGAACCCAUGACAUUUACAAUGGAAUAAUACUGAUAGGAAACAACGUACCUGAAAAUAAACUGGACUAUGUCAUAUCCUCUGAUCCUGCAAAACAAUCAUAAUAAUUCAAAGUGAAUACCAAUAAAAAUUUGAGCGUAGUAGGAGUAGAUGGUAGGAAACAUGAUUGUAGUUGUUCGUACUGAUCUAACAUACAGACUUGCUACCACAGAGGAGGCGAUUGGGACAGAAAAGACCUUCCUAGCACGCAUAAAUCUGAACUUACAACCAAGCUAACUAAAUAGCCGCGGAUCUGAAGAGACUGAGAGGGAGGAGAGUCCCAACCUCUAAUCCAGGUGAUGUCGGAGGAGGACGGCCCGCUCCCGGCGGCAGCGCAUCUGAUUUGGGCAUCCGGGACGAUACCUGGGCGCGGGAUUUGGGCCAGCGGAGCCGACGAUGGUGGCGACCAUGGGGAUCAAGGUUGGCAGGAACCCACAAAUCUCUAGUGGCAGCAGCCCUCGAAAGCUUGGCUAGCAGCGGAGUAUGUAGAGAGAUGGAUAGAGGCAAUGAGAGAAGAACGGC
rnacentral:lncRNA from 1 species